rnacentral:rRNA from 1 species
GAUGAACGCUGGCGGUAUGCCUAACACAUGCAAGUCGUACGAGAGUUUUUAACCUCUAGUGGCGGACGGGUGAGUAACACGUGAGAAUUUGCCUUUAGGAGGGGGAUAACAAUCGGAAACGAAUGCGUAAUACCGGAUGAUGUCUUCGGACCAAAGAUUUAUCGCCUUUAGAUGGGCCCGCGUUGGAUUAGCUAGUUGGUGGGGUAAAGGCCUACCAAGGCGACGAUCCAUAGCUGGUCUGAGAGGAUGAUCAGCCACACUGGGACUGAGACACGGCCCCAGACUCCUACGGGAGGCAGCAGUGGGGAAUAUUGGACAAUGGGCGAAAGCCUGAUCCAGCAAUGCCGCGUGAGUGAUGAAGGCCUUAGGGUUGUAAAGCUCUUUUACCCGAGAUGAUAAUGACAGUAUCGGGAGAAUAAGACUCCGGCUAACUCCGUGCCAGCA